GACGAACGCUGGCGGCGUGCCUAAUACAUGCAAGUUGAGCGCUGAAGGUUGGUACUUGUACCAACUGGAUGAGCAGCGAACGGGUGAGUAACGCGUGGGGAAUCUGCCUUUGAGCGGGGGACAACAUUUGGAAACGAAUGCUAAUACCGCAUAAAAACUUUAAACACAAGUUUUAAGUUUGAAAGAUGCAAUUGCAUCACUCAAAGAUUAUCCCGCGUUGUAUUAGCUAGUUGGUGAGGUAAAGGCUCACCAAGGCGAUGAUACAUAGCCGACCUGAGAGGGUGAUCGGCCACAUUGGGACUGGGAACCGGCCCAAACUCCUACGGGAGGGAGCAGUAGGGAAUCUUCGGCAAUGGACGAAAGUCUGACCGAGCAACGCCGCGGGAGUGAAGAAGGUUUUCGGAUCGUAAAACUCUGUUGGUAGAGAAGAAAGUUGGUGAGAGUGGAAAGCUCAUCAAGUGACGGUAACUACCCAGAAAGGGACGGCUAACUACGUG
rnacentral:rRNA from 1 species